rnacentral:rRNA from 1 species
GAUUAACGCUAGCGCAGGCCUAAUACAUGCAAGUUGAACGGGAUUAGUUGUAGCAAUACGAUUAUGAGAGUAGCGCACGGGUGCGUAACACGUAUGCAACCUACCUAUAACGUGGGGGAUAGCCUACCCGAAAGGGAGAUUAAUACCGCAUAACAUUAUGAAGUGGCAUCACUUUAUACUUAAACCUCGAGGGGGUUAUAGAUGGGCAUGCGUCCGAUUAGCUAGUUGGUGAGGUAAUGGCUCACCAAGGCUCCGAUCGGUAGGGGGUCUGAGAGGAUGAUCCCCCACACUGGUACUGAGACACGGACCAGACUCCUACGGGAGGCAGCAGUAAGGAAUAUUGGACAAUGGGCGCAAGCCUGAUCCAGCCAUGCCGCGUGAAGGAUGAAGGCCCUAUGGGUCGUAAACUUCUUUUAUACCGGGAAAAAACCCCCCGAUGCGUCGGGGGUUGAUGGUACUGUAAGAAUAAGGGUCGGCUAACUUCGUG